AUUGAACGCUGGCGGCAGGCCUAACACAUGCAAGUCGAGCGGAUGAAGAGAGCUUGCUCUCUGAUUUAGCGGCGGACGGGUGAGUAAUGCCUAGGAAUCUGCCUGGUAGUGGGGGAUAACGUUCCGAAAGGAACGCUAAUACCGCGUACGUCCUACGGGAGAAAGCAGGGGACCUUCGGGCCUUGCGCUAUCAGAUGAGCCUAGGUCGGAUUAGCUAGUUGGUGAGGUAAUGGCUCACCAAGGCGACGAUCCGUAACUGGGCUUAGAGGAUGAUCAGUCACACUGGAACUGAGACACGGUCCAGACUCCUACGGGAGGCAGCAGUGGGGAAUAUUGGACAAUGGGCGAAAGCCUGAUCCAGCCAUGCCGCGUGUGUGAAGAAAGUCUUCGGAUUGUAAAGCACUUUAAGUUGGGAGGAAGGGCAGUAAGUUAAUACCUUGCUGUUUUGACGUUACCGACAGAAUAAGCACCGGCUAACUUCGUGCCAGCCGCCGCUGUAAAAC
rnacentral:rRNA from 1 species